GAUGAAGAACGCAGCGAAAUGCGAUACGUAGUGUGAAUUGCAGAAUUCCGUGAAUCAUCGAAUCUUUGAACGCACAUUGCGCCUUCUGGUAUUCCGGAAGGCAUGCCUGUUCGAGAGUCAUUAACAACCGUUUCGAUCCCUUUCUUUCAGAAAUUACAAAGAGGAAAAGGGUUUGGUUAUGGUGGAGGAGGGAAAGGGAGCGUUUAGCCUGUAAAAAAAGAGGCUGUGUUCCGCCUCCCCCCCAAAAUUGUACAGGCGGUCGUGUGCGCCCACGCAUCGAGGUGUUGUAAAAGCUGCCACGGCACUUUUCACCUGUGCAGUGCGAGAUUGGCCAGCCGGUUUAAAAACCCCUCCAAACAAUCAAAGGUUGACCUCGGAUCAGGUAGGGAUACCCGCUGAACUUAAGCAUAUCAAUAAGCGGAGGA
rnacentral:misc_RNA from 1 species